rnacentral:lncRNA from 1 species
AUUGCAGAUAGCAAUCAAGAUUUCUACAUUUGUUUUUGAUUAAUACAGUAGCCAUCUAGCCCAGGUUAUAAAACAUAGACAUCAGUGAGCAGUAUACAAACACAUAUUUGGCCGAGGACAAAAGGCUAGCGCGUUUAAGAGUGUCUAAAGUUUGUCGUGUUCUUGAGACGGUAUCCCGGUGCGUGUGUAUCAAUUUUGCCAUGUAAGUAUAAAGCUUUUACUCCUCGUCCACGCGGAACGAGACGAAUUUGUACCGAUUGGGAAUGCGCUCAUAUAAAUGAAAUAACAAAUUCCUCGACAAAUUCGUCCGGCGUCGUGCGUCUCGAAGCGAACUAGACUCGCUUUAUACAAGCGGACAGUCCCAUCGUAAACAGACCAUAAAUGAGUCCGUAAAUUGUCUCGUAUCAUAAAGGAGGUCCGUUUUACACGUGCGAUUCUAAGUGUGGUUUUCUUAUUCAGAUAGAUGUGAACGACUAUAGAUGAGUUGUGAAUGUUCUGAGCAUAUGUAUCCUCAUCAGAACAUCAUAACUCGAAUACUCAUUCACAUCCAUCAGAAGUAGAAAUUCGCGCCUAAAAUCGCAGCAAACAUUGCAAGUGUAAACGGGCGUUAAAACGUGUGAAUAUAAAGAUGACGAGUUGACUUUUUUCCCGCCGGUUGCCCGUGCUGAAUAUAUGUAAACAUUUUGCCAUGUAAGUGGCGCUUAGAGUCAUUACAUGCUGUAACAUACUUCAACAGGCAAGCGUAAGAGGGCUUUGUUUGACUUUUGUUGUAUCUGACUCAUCGUCUUUUGAUUUCUUACAGGAGAAGUGCUUCGUUCACCUCUGGAGAAUCGAGUGCUAGCAGUUCACAAACAAACCAGAAAGGUAGGCUGAGGUUAUGGCACUGAGCUCCGUAUAGAGCUGGAGCGAGAAGUCGGGUGAAACAAAAUAAUGAAGCCAAAAUGGUGCAAACUGACGUUCAGUGCCAGUCCCUUUCUAUUCUUUUGACGUGCGCGGUUGACACGAAGCUGCAAGAAGUGGGUGAUUGCUAGAUUGUAUACUUCUAAAUAUGGUUUCCGUUUUUAUAACGUAGAUAAAACUAUCCUAACGCAAAACUAAACCCUAACCUAACCCUAACUUAUUUUAAAAAAUGAUUUAAAAACGGAAACCUUAUUUUGAAGUAUACUAUCUAGCAAUUGCCGCAAGAAAUGUGCCGAAAUUUUCAGUGUAUUUUGACUCGAUACUAUCUGUGGGAAAAAAAAACUGGAUUUAGCUGAGAAAAUAGUCUGUAUAGCUAAACAGUUUACAACCUUCAUAUAAAGUAUUGGACGUCAAUUGCCGCCAUCUUGCAUAGCUUCACUUCUCUCAUAGGCCGAAUGACUGAAGUUCUUACAGUCUUACUCCAGGUAUAUUAUAGAGUUCACUGGGAAACUUAUGGUGCAUGGGAAAAUAACAAGAUUUGGGACAUCUCGCUCGAUAGAACUGAAAAUGUCGAUGAGGUUUUAGUGAGGCUGGAUUUGUCGAACGUAAAUUUAUAGACAAUUUGAGAACAAACCGUCCUACAGGAGGGCCUAAACGUUAGCUCCUCGGUUAGGUCUAAAGUUGUAUGUAAAUUUUCGAUUAGAAGGAACAUCUUAGAAAAACUGAUCCACAAAAGAUGUCUUGAUAGCUAUUAAAGUAUUGUAAGUGGGGGUGUACCCAAUCAACCUUGAGACCUUGCAGCUGCAUGGGAGCUGAGAAAAGUUACGAAGGACGCUGCUCAAUUUGAUCAGGUCGAAGGCUUAGUAAGGGCAUAAUGAAACAAUUCCCCUGAUCAAUUUAAUAUUAUUAAGCCCAGUUUGUGUCCCGUUACCAACAGUGAAAUCAGUAUAAAGCUAUCAUGCAUUCAAACUUUAUUCCUGGUCAAAUUGAGCAGACUGUAGUAUAGGAAACAGGUUCAAAUAACCAGGAAAUUUACCCAAAUAGGAUUAUUUUUUAGGUCAACCAGGAAAAUUUUAACCAGUGUGUUUAUAGUAAUAUAGAGUGUAGAUUCACCUCCUUGUAUUAAACGAAGAGGAAGCGAAAUUAUUGACAGAAAAAGACAAUCUCAAACUCACUAAUAAUCCAUGAGUAAAUUAGCCAAGCAUAUUGCUCUAUUUUGCUCACAUAGUAAUACUGGAUACCCGGUGAAGUAUAUUGAUCCAGUCUUAGGUUUGGAUCAAAGUUAAUUCAGUUCUAGGACUGGAUCAAAAUUAAUUCACCUCACUUUAAGUAGUAAGUUAUUCGUAUGAGAUGUCAUUUCAAAUCCUCCAAUUCGGACUGGACUAGAUUUCAAGUCCUCGCAUAAGGGCAUUUUGAUCUAGUCCUCGGCUUCGCCUCGGGCUCGAUCAAAUUGCGCUUGAAAUCUAGUCCAGUCCUCAUAGUCGGAUUUCAAAUAUCACGUCACAGCACCAAAAAGGCCGCGAGACGAUGCAAAACCAUGCUCGGCGAGUAUUUAUGACUUUUUCUUUAAAUGUUGUGUUUUAAAUGUACUCGAGGGCGACGAGUAAAUACUGUAUUUGAAUUAUGUUUUGUAUUGAGAUCCAGUGUUGUAUUGAGAUCAAUGAAAAUCUUUUGCGCAAUGCUAACUUCAGUUCUGAUGUCAUAAUACGAAUGCCUAAUCCGAUUAUUUCCUUAUUCGAAUGAAGAUUAUGAUUUCCGUAAUCGCUGUAUAAUUCUUUCCGUCCGAAGGUGUCUAAAUACCCUCAUGGUAAUUUAUCAGACAGAUUAUACUUCUGAAUCAACAAAUUCACAGUUAAUGGCGUCAACAUUUCAAAGAGGGGGUAAAAGGAUUAUGGCGAUUUUGGUUUAUAUGAUGGGCAUGCUUCUAAAAUCCAUAAUUUCUGGGUCAAGCACAUGGCAUGAUAAACGUAGCCAAUUAGCCUUUCUCACGAUGACGAAUAUCCGCCAUUUUUGAGUGACAUCUAAUCUCGUUAACCAAUGCAGACAAUUAAAACAAUGUGAAAAGCAAUUUUUCAAAAUAGGCUAACCAUUUACAUGGCAAAUUCACCAUCAUUCGUCAAAAAAUUAUAAAAAGUCGCUGUUAUGUGGACUUAUCUCGCAGACGUUGGCCGAAAAGCCACCCAAAAGUGGCGGCGUGAUAAACGCUAAUUAAGUUCUAACAACAUAUAUCCCGUGGUUCCAGUUUUCCGAUAGACCCUAUUUUUUCUGUUGACUCCAAACGUUUCGUUGGAUGUGGUUGAGUUGUUUGCUUACCUGUACCUAUACCUAUACCCAGGCUUUUAGCCAGGGUCCUGAAAGAGGGCGUCCAAUUUUGUUACAGCGAACAUCUACAGUAAAGAGCGGGGUGUUCGAAAAAACGUUCCUCUGGAAAACCUUUGAAUUUUAAGUUACUUCAUGUCAGUAUCUGUUCCAAGCUUGUUCGAAAUUUUUCAAAACACUUGGGUUUGUGAGUUCUUUACUUGACAACGACAUUUUCAUUCAGCCAGGUACACCAUCAAAUUGAUCAAAAUGUCAAAUGUAUAAUAAUAAUAAUGAGAAUUGAAGCUAUUUUGUUUCAGAUAAAUAUUAAUAUACUUAGGUAAAUAAUUGAAAAUUAUUUUAACGGCCCCGCAGUAAUUGGCUCACGCUGUUGCGGCCACCCUGCCUAUAGUCAUGUAUAUUCUUGUUCUUGUUAUAGUUUUGUGUACUGUAAUAUGGCGAAACUAAUAAAUAAAUAGAAUAAUUUUCCUUUUCCCCCAGAAUUUGGGCGUCCAAAGGCGUCCACUUUUCGUUCUAGGGGCGUCCCAGGACGCCUGGACGCCCUUCUGGCUAAAAGCCUGCCUAUACCUAUACCGACCCUAUGUUUUUCGCUGCUCGAAUCACGAUAUAUUUUUGUGACACCAAAAAUUGCUUGCAGUUAUUGCUUCGUGCAUAUAUAUAUAGAUAUGAUUGUCUGGACCCGGUAAACUUCAUUUACCUUUGUUUGAUGUUGGACGAUUACUUCAUUUCAUACAGAAAUACAAUGAGCUCAAUUUUUUUAUUUAUUGCACUUUGCCUCAACAGGCUUGGAAACCGCAACAGCUAUACGGCCAUUCACUGCGGAUCCAUCAAUAGUAACGAUUACAAUUACCAACAAAACAUACAAACAUGUACAGACAUUAACAACAUUAAGACUUACAGGCAUUAAAAACAGCAUAUAGGAAGAGACGGAAGUCUACGGGAGCAGAGCCACACUUACUACUUAGCACAAACUGACUUCCAUGUCCGUGCAUCUUCAGGGUCAUACUCAUGGACGCCGGAACUGGGGGGGCAGGAGGGGCAGCCGUCCCCGUUGUCCUUUACCAGGAGGGGCAAGGGGGCAAAGGUGCCCUUUCAAUUUAAAGGAUUGCCUUGGCGAGAUAGCGAAUUGUCAGAAAUGUUAGUGCAAUUCGUUUACAAAUUUGCUUCAGAAAACGCAAGAAAUGCAGUCAUCGAGCUUCAAGAAUAGCACAAUCAUCUGGCGGAGAACCCCCUCACACCCCUGUCAUCCAAUAAAUAGAAAACAUGAUUAGGCGAAGUUCAACUCCCGAUGUUUUGCAAACAUCUCUUAGUAUAGAUCAAUUCACAAAAGCGCCCUUUCACGAAAAUCUGCCCCCUUGCCUUCACAUCGUUCCGGCGUCCCUGCAUGGUCAUACUGUAAGUUCAUUUUAAAGACUAAUUUAUAUUGACUUUGAUCCAUCAUUUGACUUUUUUUCACGGGAGGUAUUUGAAUUUUCAGGGGAUAUGCAAAACUCUCUCAAGGGAGGUGCACACCUCCCCUCAAAAUCCACCCUUGCUUCAAUUUAAAUUUUGUCCAUAUUCUCUUACAGAAAACAAACCAAGACAUCCCAAAGCGGACGUAGCGACUGAGGUAAGUGGUAUGAAAUCUUACCUGAUUUUUUUUGCAUGCAUGCUAUUUGAACAUUCGAGGAAUACUAAAGAAAUAAACCUUACUGCAUGACCUCUAGCG